rnacentral:misc_RNA from 1 species
UCACCCCUCAAGCCCCCUCUGGCUUGGUGUUGGACGGUUUGGUUUUGGCGACAAGACCCCUCCUAAAGCGAAUGACGGCGGCCUGUGCGACCCCCGGUACAUGGAGCUUCUAACCGAGCACGUACCGGCUUCAGGGUCGACAGGACCCGGUCUUCUCCCGCAUGGGAAAAUUCUUUCCAAA